rnacentral:rRNA from 1 species
AACGAACGCUGGCGGCAUGCCUAACACAUGCAAGUCGAACGAUGCCUUCGGGCAUAGUGGCGCACGGGUGCGUAACGCGUGGGAAUCUGCCCUUGGCUUCGGAAUAACAGUUAGAAAUGACUGCUAAUACCGGAUGAUGUCCCCCUGAGAGAUCUUGGGGACCAAAGAUUUAUCGGCCAGGGAUGAGCCCGCGUAGGAUUAGGUAGUUGGUGGGGUAAAGGCCUACCAAGCCAACGAUCCUUAGCUGGUCUGAGAGGAUGAUCAGCCACACUGGGACUGAGACACGGCCCAGACUCCUACGGGAGGCAGCAGUGGGGAAUAUUGGACAAUGGGGGGAACCCUGAUCCAGCAAUGCCGCGUGAGUGAUGAAGGCCUUAGGGUUGUAAAGCUCUUUUACCAGGGAUGAUAAUGACAGUACCUGGAGAAUAAGCUCCGGCUAACUCCGUG